UACGGAGGAUGCAAGCGUUAUCCGGAAUGAUUGGGCGUAAAGCGUCCGCAGGUGGCUAUGUAAGUCUGCUGUCAAAGCGUCUGGCUCAACCAGAUAAAGGCAGUGGAAACUACAUAGCUAGAGUAAGGUAGGGGUAGAGGGAAUUCCUGGUGUAGCGGUGAAAUGCGUAGAGAUCAGGAAGAACACCGGUGGCGAAAGCGGCAUCCUGGACCAACACUGACGCUGAGGAGCGAAAGCCAGGGGAGCAAACGGG
rnacentral:rRNA from 1 species